rnacentral:lncRNA from 1 species
GCCUCCACCUCCGCUCCAGGCAACCCUCGGUCGCCGGCUCGCUGGAGCACGACGGCAGACGAUGGAUGCCCUGGUUGUGUGCGACGGAUGCAGUUCUUACGCGCAAGCUAGGGUUGGAGCCGCCAGCUCUUCAUCCUGCCCGCCGGCGGCGAGUCUUCCCGUCCCGCACUGCCGCCUCCCCGUUAUCACAGGUAUCUCCACCCCUUCCUCUUUCCCCCUCUUCUCUCCUCUCCCUUCUCCCUCCUCCUUCUCUAUUCCCUUCCUCCUCCCACCCCGUUACCUGUUCAUGUUGUUGGCACCUGAAGAAGUUGGUGGCAUGGUGAAGCCCCUGAGCAAAAAGUUGCAGGAGUCUUUGAAGGAGUUGGAGAAGUCUUCCUUGACAAGAUUAGAUUAAUUUCCCCACUCUGUGAUUUGGAUUGAUUUCUUGAAUUUAGCCAAACACCUUUGCUUGUGCUCCUAAUUUCCCAUCACUCUUUUUGUCACAGCAUGGUCAAAACAAUGGUGCCUUCACCCUUGCUCGUGCCUCAACCCACAUGGUCAUCUUUGAGACGUGGUAUUCAGUCACAUGACAGAGUUCUCUUU